rnacentral:rRNA from 1 species
AAACAUGUCUUUUUGAAUUUUUUUUAAAGUCUAGCCUGCCCACUGAAAUUUUUUAAAUGGCCGCAGUAUACUAACUGUGCAAAGGUAGCAUAAUCAUUAGUCUUUUAAUUGAAGGCUGGUAUGAAUGGUUGGACGAGAUAUUAACUGUUUCAUAAAAAUUUAUAAUAGAAUUUUAUUUUUUAGUCAAAAAGCUAAAAUAUAUUUAAAAGACGAGAAGACCCUAUAAAUCUUUAUAUUUAGAUUAUUAUAAUUUUAUAGAUUUUUUUUGUUAUAAUAAUUGAUAAUAUUUUAUUGGGGUGAUAUUAAAAUUUAAUAAACUUUUAAUUGUUUAAAUCAUUAAUUUAUGAAUAAUUGAUCCGUUAUUAGCGAUUAAAAAAAUAAGUUACUUUAGGGAUAACAGCGUAAUUUUUUUGGAGAGUUCAUAUCGAUAAAAAAGAUUGCGACCUCGAUGUUGGAUUAAGAUAUAAUUUUAGGUGUAGCCGCUUAAAUUUUAAGUCUGUUCGACUUUUAAAUUCUUACAUGAUCUGAGUUCAAACCGGCGUAAGCCAGGUUGGUUUCUAUCUUUAAAAAAUUAAAAUAUUUCAGUACGAAAGGACCUAAUAUUUGAUAAAUUAUUAUUUUUAUAUUGAAUAUAAUUAAUAUAAAUACUAUUUUGGC